rnacentral:rRNA from 1 species
UACGGGGGGGGGCAAGCGUUGUUCGGAAUUACUGGGCGUAAAGGGCUCGUAGGCGGCCAACUAAGUCAGACGUGAAAUCCCUCGGCUUAACCGGGGAACUGCGUCUGAUACUGGAUGGCUUGAGUUUGGGAGAGGGAUGCGGAAUUCCAGGUGUAGCGGUGAAAUGCGUAGAUAUCUGGAAGAACACCCGUGGCGAAGGCGGGUCUCUGGGCAACAACUGACGCUGAGGAGCGAAAGCGUGGGGAGCGAACAGG